AGAGUUUGAUCAUGGCUCAGGAUGAACGCUAGCGACAGGCUUAACACAUGCAAGUCGAGGGGCAGCGGGGUAGCAAUACCGCCGGCGACCGGCGCACGGGUGAGUAACACGUAUGCAACCUGCCUUCAACAGAGGAAUAACCCGGCGAAAGUCGGCCUAAUACCUCAUAAUACAGGGGUCCCGCAUGGGAAUAUUUGUUAAAGAUUUAUCGGUUGAAGAUGGGCAUGCGUAACAUUAGGUAGUUGGCAGGGUAACGGCCUACCAAGCCCACGAUGUUUAGGGGUUCUGAGAGGAAGGUCCCCCACACUGGUACUGAGACACGGACCAGACUCCUACGGGAGGCAGCAGUGAGGAAUAUUGGUCAAUGGGCGCGAGCCUGAACCAGCCAAGUCGCGUGAAGGAAGACUGCCCUAUGGGUUGUAAACUUCUUUUGCAGGGGAAUAAAGACAGGCACGUGUGCCUGGUUGUAUGUACCCUGCGAAUAAGCAUCGGCUAACUCCGUGCCAGCAGCCGCGGUAAUACGGAGGAUGCGAGCGUUAUCCGGAUUUAUUGGGUUUAAAGGGUGCGUAGGUGGUUUUUUAAGUCAGCGGUGAAAUCUUAACGCUUAACGUCAAAAUUGCCGUUGAAACUGGGGAACUUGAGAGCAGACGAGGCAGGCGGAAUUCGUAGUGUAGCGGUGAAAUGCAUAGAUAUUACGAAGAACUCCGACAGCGCAGGCAGCUUGCCAGACUGCCACUGACACUGAAGCACGAAAGUGUGGGAAUCAAACAGGAUUAGAUACCCUGGUAGUCCACACUGUAAACGAUGAUUACUCGCUGUUUGCGAUAUACAGCAAGCGGCCAAGCGAAAGCAUUAAGUAAUCCACCUGGGGAGUACGCCGGCAACGGUGAAACUCAAAGGAAUUGACGGGGGCCCGCACAAGCGGAGGAACAUGUGGUUUAAUUCGAUGAUACGCGAGGAACCUUACCCGGGCUCGAACGGCUGUUGAAUAAGGGUGAAAGCCUUUAGUCGCAAGACAACAGUCGAGGUGCUGCAUGGUUGUCGUCAGCUCGUGCCGUGAGGUGUCGGCUUAAGUGCCAUAACGAGCGCAACCCUUACCGUUAGUUACCAGCAAGUCAUGUUGGGGACUCUAGCGGGACUGCCACCGUAAGGUGUGAGGAAGGUGGGGAUGACGUCAAAUCAGCACGGCCCUUACGUCCGGGGCGACACACGUGUUACAAUGGCCGGUACAGAGGGCAGCUACUUAGCGAUAAGAUGCUAAUCCCGAAAGCCGGUCUCAGUUCGGAUUGGAGUCUGCAACCCGACUCCAUGAAGUUGGAUUCGCUAGUAAUCGCGCAUCAGCCAUGGCGCGGUGAAUACGUUCCCGGGCCUUGUACACACCGCCCGU
rnacentral:rRNA from 1 species